GACGAACGCUGGCGGCGUGCUUAACACAUGCAAGUCGAGCGGUAAGGCCCUUUCGGGGGUACGACGAGCGGCGAACGGGUGAGUAACACGUGGGUGACCUGCCCUCAGCUCUGGGAUAAGCCUGGGAAACCGGGUCUAAUACCGGAUAUGACUCCAUGACGCAUGUUGUGGGGUGGAAAGCCUUGUGCGGCUGAGGAUGGGCCCGCGGCCUAUCAGCUUGUUGGUGGGGUGAUGGCCUACCAAGGCGACGACGGGUAGCCGGCCUGAGAGGGCGACCGGCCGACACUGGGACUGAGACACGGCCCAGACUCCUACGGGAGGCAGCAGUGGGGAAUCUUGCGCAAUGGGCGAAAGCCUGACGCAGCGACGCCGCGUGAGGGAUGACGGCCU
rnacentral:rRNA from 1 species